rnacentral:rRNA from 1 species
CUACGGGGGGCUGCAGUGGGGAAUAUUGCACAAUGGAGGAAACUCUGAUGCAGCAACGCCGCGUGGAGGAUGACACUUUUCGGAGCGUAAACUCCUUUUAUAUAGGAAGAAGAUGACGGUACUAUAUGAAUAAGCGCCGGCUAACUCCGUGUCAGCAGCCGCGGUAAUACGGAGGGCGCAAGCGUUACUCGGAAUCACUGGGCGUAAAGAGCGUGUAGGCGGAUUAAAAAGUCAGAAGUGAAAUCCUAUAGCUUAACUAUAGAACUGCUUCUGAAACUCUUAAUCUAGAAUAUGGGAGAGGUAGAUGGAAUUUCUGGUGUAGGGGUAAAAUCCGUAGAGAUCAGAAGGAAUACCGAUUGCGAAGGCGAUCUACUAGAACAUUAUUGACGCUGAGACGCGAAAGCGUGGGGAGCAAACAGGAUUAGAUACCCCAGUAGUC